GGCAUUGUGGCCGAGUGGUUAAGGCGAUGCACUCGAAAUGCAUUGGGCUCUGCCCGCGCAGGUUCGAAUCCUGCUGAUGUCG
rnacentral:tRNA from 2 species